rfam:Rhizobium yanglingense strain CCBAT 01603 genomic scaffold 01603_scaffold_1, whole genome shotgun sequence.
ACCUUUCGGGAUCAAUCUUGGCUGCAAAGUCCGCCUUUUCCUUGACCACGGAUGUACUGGCAUUGAAGCGAAGCGGAUGAUGAAGGCCGGUUUAUCCGACCUUUGUUUUU